rnacentral:lncRNA from 7 species
AGCAGAAUUGCAUUCAGCUAGAAGAGACUGAAGAAGUUUAACGUGUUAAAAAAUCAGUCUUUGUAGUCUGAAGAGAUUGCAUUUGUCCAGACUUGAGAAGAAAAGUGCAAAGAGGGGUUAUUCAGUGAUGAAAAGGAAGGAAGGUGGUCAUUCUCUGUGUCCAGCAUAGGUAAGUGUAGGGAUGUGACCUGGGCUACAUCUUCUGUGCAAAGUCUUAGUUCUGUGGAGAAACUGGUUUGUAUACUCAUUCUGAUUCCAUUUAAAUGGCUUUUACUUUUGUUUGUGUCACAAAGGGAGAUGAGUUUAGUUUCAGCUGGAGAUAACAAAGUAAAAAUUAAGAAUGUCUUGUUUCUGGUGAGAUCCUGUUGGGAGAAAACACAGCUUUGCUGGAAGUAGAGGAGAAGUUUAAUUUCUGGAUUGAGGAUGUAACCAAGUCUUGCCAUAAAAUGAAACCCAGUAGGCUUGGCUUCUGUUCUUCUGUAUGUAUGUGCAGUGGAAACUGCUCUUCUAUCUACAGAGCUCACUAUGAUAGAAAGUUCUGACUUAAAGAAGUUGGUUGAGCACUGAACUUUUCAAAUUGUUAUGUGUACUUACUUGAAUUAGAUUGGAACGGGUUCUGUGCCAGUGCGGCUCUUCAGAAAUGAGAUGGCUUUAAAUUUUAAUCUGGUGGAUGUUACACUGAUUUGGUAGUAAAUCAAGGUCCUGGCUGUAAUUUAUAGGCAAAUCAUGUGAGCUAGAGGUCAAGGAGCCCAUUGUUGAAGCACAAAAUAUUAAAAAGGAAAGCACAUCCCUGCAAUGAAUAAUUUGUAAUUUGGUGCUUCCUUUUUUUCUGCCUACUUGUGCAGGUGAUACACAGCCUAUUUUACAAAAUCAGUUUGUGAAACAGCUGAGAAACCAUUCAUGUUCCUUACCAGUGAGGAACACCUAGACAAAGAAAACAGAAACUCUACUUUUUGUCUUGCAUUGUAUUUAUCAAGUAAAAGUUCAGUGUAAAAUCAGCAUGAAGCCAUGCCAUUGAAGUGAAAAGAUUUGUGACACUUGGUCUGAGUUAGAGCAAAAAAUGUUCCCUUCUUCAGAGGUCUUUCAGGUGUUUUAUUACUGCCACAAGAAGAGUAAUAUUGGAAUGAGUUCCAGUUCCCUGAAAAUGAACAACUGAGGCUUUCAACAGGUGUCGUUUCCUCAGCUUCAAGAAUCCAAAAUUGACUCGGCACCACCUCUCUUGCUGUGAUCUUGCUCAACGUGAGGCAGGUCUCCUUUCGUCCUCAAGACUCAGGCAUCUCUGCCAAAGGAUCUGUCUUGUCUAUCAUAAAACCAAGUUGUCUGCACUGAGCUCCAGGACUGAGAGCUCAUCCCAGGAGCUUUGAGAGAGUUUCAGAUGUUUUGCUUCCAACAUACAGAGACUGUCACCUCUUAUCCUCCAAAAAAAAAAACCUGUCUACCUGUUUCUCUCAGGUUCCUCUUAUCACAGGAAAAUUCUUGAUAAUUCCCUGGAAAUUUCUUGCAGGAUUUUCAUACUUUGGAUCUUUAAUAAUUUUCUUAACUUGUCAUUUUAGGAUCCUACUUCAAAAUAGCUAUAUUCGUAUUAUCCCAUUGCCUUGCAUGAAGACCAAUUCCCUAUAGUGCUUGUAAACUUGGAAGUUUUUCAUUGGACAGUAAUAAACUUUGAUAUAUAUAAUGUGGAUCAUUGAUCGAUUGGGCUUUAAUAUUUUACAUUUAAAUAUUAAAGUCUUUUGAAUU